AUAUAUAUAUAUAUAUAUAUGGCACGGGGUAGGAUAAUUGAUGGACGUUAUGUUGCUUCACCUUUCUUGUCAUUUGUAUCCAGCUUUAACGAGCUCAACAAGAGAACAAGAGACAGGUGCCCCGAAUCAGCGCACCGGUAUAAAAUAUGCUCUGACCAGCAAUCUGCGUCUGUGUGUAGUAGUGGAGAAGGGCGGGCGUAGAGCGAGGGAGAGAAAAAGAAAAGAUAAACAAAACAAACAAAGGAUUAUUUGGCAAUGACUUUGGAACGGAAUUGGACCCUGAUUAGUGGACUGGAUUAUUGGACUGAAUGAGAACCCGAACCCGCUAGCGGGUGUGGUGAGAAUCUUUACAUGUCCUCCAGUGCAAAUUCCUGGGAUAUGGCAGUCCAGGCCUGGUAUGAUGAAGUCAAAGAUUUUAAGUAUGGAGUUGGAUCAACAAAUGGUGCUGUUGUUGGGCAUUACACCCAGGUUGUGUGGUACAGGUCUAACAAGGUUGGCUGUGCAGUUGCUCAUUGCCCUGGUUCUAAAUAGGAGUAUUUUUGUGUAUGCCAGUACUGCCCUCCAGGAAACAACCAGAAUUUAUUACCCACACCCUACAAAGCUGGUCCAUCAUACGGUGACUGCCCAGGUGCUUGUGAAGAUAAGCUCUGCACAAACCCAUGUUCCUACUCAGACAUGUAUUCCAACUGUCCCGAUCUUAAAGGGACUUUUGGAUGUGGCCACCCAUCGGUUUUGGCUUGGUGUCCUGCUUCAUGCAAGUGUACAAAUGAAAUCAAAUGAACUGCUCCCUGGAACUUUACAUGCAUGUAACAUCAAUACAAUUUAUUGAUUAAACUGUACUGAUACUUUUAACCUAAUGAUCUAGCAAACACUAUAGAUAUAUGCUGUAAGUGUACAUUUCAAUUAAAAUCAUGCAACUAAAAACAAGUGUCAAGUCUUAUUUUUU